rnacentral:rRNA from 1 species
ACCCAGUUCGACGGGGAGCACCAUGGGAAUAUGACGAGGGCGGAAGACAAACAGCCAGCCGCGGGAGGAGAAGUCCGGGGAUAGUAAACUUUUUGUCAGGGAACAAAAGACGGGACGUGUUCCGUGUUGGGAGUACCUGAAAAAAAAGCUUCGGCUAACUCCUCCCCGCAGCGGGUUAUAGGGAGUAUGGGAGCUUUAUCCGGAAUUUUUGGGUUUAAAGGUGGGCAAGCGGAUUUUAAGUCAGCGGUAAAACCCGGGGCUCCACCCCGGCCCCGCCGUUGAAAUGGCGAUCUGGAGUGUGAGAGAAGUAUGGAGAAAUGCGCGGUGUAGCGGUGAAAUGCAUAGAUAUCGGGCAGAAUCCGAUUGCGAAGGCAGCAUACCGGCUCCAUACUGACGUUGAGGCACGAAAGCGUUGGUGUUGAACAGGAUUAGAUACCCUGGUAGUCCACGCAGUAAACGAUGAAUGCUGGCUGUCCGGAGGGAUUGACCUCUGGGUGGCGAAGCGAAAGCGAUAAGCAUUCCACUUGGGGAGUACGCCGGCAACGGUGAAACUCAAAGGAAUUGACGGGGGCCCGCACAAGCGGAGGAACAUGUGGUUUAAUUAGAUGAUACGCGAGGAACGUUACCCGGGCUCAAACGGGAGAUGAAGUCAGCAGAGACGCUGAUUUCCUACGGGACAUCUUCCGAGGUGGUGCAUGGUUGUCGUCAGCUCGUGCCGUGAGGUGUCGGCUUAAGUGCCAUAACGAGCGCAACCCCUGUGGGCAGUUGCUAACAGUAUAAGCUGGGGACUCUGCCCGGACUGCCGGCGCAAGCCGUGAGGAAGGCGGGGAUGACGUCAAAUCAGCACGGCCCUUACGUCCGGGGCGACACACGUGUUACAAUGGGUGGUACAGCGGGAAGCCAGGUGGCGACACCGAGCGGAACCCGAAAACCACUUUCAGUUCGGAUCGGAGUCUGCCACCCGACUCCGUGAAGCUGGAUUUGCUUGUGCUCGCGCAUCAGCCAUGGCGCGGUGAAUCCGUUCCCGUCCCUUGUACACACCGCCCGUCAAGGGCGAAUUCGCGGCCGCUAAAUUCAAUCGCCUCUAUCUAGUCGUCGUCCA